GUACAUCAGAUGUGAAAAUACAGACACUGUUAAAACUUUAAACCGUUCUUGCUCAUGAUUUGACAUCGGUGAUACCAAAACCGUCCUAAAAUUCACCUUCACAAUGCAAUGCAAGUUAAAAAAAAAAAAUAGAAUUUUUUUGUAAAGUUGC